CUCUUAGCAACAAGAGGGGUCAAGUGACACAACCAGCUGACUCCCGUAGAGGAAGACACUGUGGAGGCCAGUUCUGGAGCUAUUGCAGCCUCGGUUGCCCGGCCGGGGACCCGAGCCGAAAAGUUAUCGUCAGAAUGUCGGGCAAAGACCGAAUUGAAAUCUUUCCCUCGCGAAUGGACAGGGUCAGGUGCAGUGGUUCAUGCCCAUAAUCCCAGCACUUUGGGAAGCUGAGGCUGGAGGAUUUCAUGAGACCAGGAGUUAGAGGCUGCAGCAAGCUAUGAUCAUACCACUGCAAUCCAGCCUGGGUGACAGAGCAAGACCCCAUCUCAAAAAAUAAGGAGUCGGGCCGGGCAUGGUGGCUCAUCCCUGUAAUCCCAGUACUUUGGGAGGCUGAAGCAGGCAGAUCACUUAAAGUCAAGAGUUCGAGAUGAGCCUGGGCACAGACCAUCAUGAAGGCUCGUUUAAAGGGAGCACAGACAGGUCGAAACCUCCUGAAGAAAAAAUCUGAUGCCUUAACUCUUCGAUUUCGACAGAUCCUAAAGAAGAUAAUAGAGACUAAAAUGUUGAUGGGCGAAGUGAUGAGAGAAGCUGCCUUUUCACUAGCUGAAGCCAAGUUCACAGCAGGUG
rnacentral:lncRNA from 1 species